rnacentral:rRNA from 1 species
CCUACGGGCGGCAGCAGUGAGGAAUAUUGGUCAAUGGACGCAAGUCUGAACCAGCCAUGCCGCGUGCAGGAAGACGGCUCUAUGAGUUGUAAACUGCUUUUGUACGAGGGUAAACUCAGAUACGCGUAUCUGUCUGAAAGUAUCGUACGAAUAAGGAUCGGCUAACUCCGUGCCAGCAGCCGCGGUAAUACGGAGGAUUCAAGCGUUAUCCGGAUUUAUUGGGUUUAAAGGGUGCGUAGGCGGUCGGAUAAGUUAGAGGUGAAAUCCCGAGGCUCAACUUCGGAAUUGCCUCUGAUACUGUUAGGCUAGAGAGUAGUUGCGGUAGGCGGAAUGUAUGGUGUAGCGGUGAAAUGCUUAGAGAUCAUACAGAACACCGAUUGCGAAGGCAGCUUACCAAGCUACGUCUGACGUUGAGGCACGAAAGCGUGGGGAGCAAACAGGAUUAGAUACCCUGGUAGUC